GGAUUUAUAAAUUCAGAGAUAUGCAAAUAGAGAAUUAUAUAAAUUGAACUUUUUAAUAGAAAUCGAAUCAAAUUUUAAAAAAUUGAUAAGACUUACUUAGGUAAUUGUGGAUGAGAAAUAAAGAAUAAGAGCAUUCUUUGUAGUGAAGAGAAAGUGAUCAUCCUCAAGUAAAUCUCCAUCAACCACUCACAAAUUUUUUUAACCAAACAAUUAAAUUUCAAUACUUGGAGCCUAACAAAAUUUUGACGUAAAC
rnacentral:lncRNA from 1 species